rnacentral:rRNA from 1 species
CGGGUGACGAGCGGCGGACGGGUGAGUAAUGUCUGGGAAACUGCCUGAUGGAGGGGGAUAACUACUGGAAACGGUAGCUAAUACCGCAUAACGUCGCAAGACCAAAGAGGGGGACCUUCGGGCCUCUUGCCAUCAGAUGUGCCCAGAUGGGAUUAGCUAGUAGGUGGGGUAACGGCUCACCUAGGCGACGAUCCCUAGCUGGUCUGAGAGGAUGACCAGCCACACUGGAACUGAGACACGGUCCAGACUCCUACGGGAGGCAGCAGUGGGGAAUAUUGCACAAUGGGCGCAAGCCUGAUGCAGCCAUGCCGCGUGUAUGAAGAAGGCCUUCGGGUUGUAAAGUACUUUCAGCGGGGAGGAAGGCGAUAAGGUUAAUAACCUUGUCGAUUGACGUUACCCGCAGAAGAAGCACCGGCUAACUCCGUGCCAGCAGCCGCGGUAAUACGGAGGGUGCAAGCGUUAAUCGGAAUUACUGGGCGUAAAGCGCACGCAGGCGGUCUGUCAAGUCGGAUGUGAAAUCCCCGGGCUCAACCUGGGAACUGCAUUCGAA